UACGUAGGGGGCAAGCGUUAUCCGGAUUUACUGGGUGUAAAGGGAGCGUAGACGGCAGGGCAAGUCUGGAGUGAAAGGCAGGGGCCCAACCCCUGGACUGCCCUGGAAACUGUCCGGCUGGAGUGCAGGAGAGGUAAGUGGAAUUCCUAGUGUAGCGGUGAAAUGCGUAGAUAUUAGGAGGAACACCAGUGGCGAAGGCGGCUUACUGGACUGUAACUGACGUUGAGGCUCGAAAGCGUGGGGAGCAAACAGG
rnacentral:rRNA from 1 species